AGUACAGUUCUUUUUUCCUUUUUUGUAUCCAAAAGAAAAAUAACUAUAGAAGUGAAAUAUAGUCUUUUUAUAUAUUUGUAAAACACCUUUCUUCCCCAAAAAAGUAGAAGCUGCCUUUCCAAGCCAGGUAAAUAGUUCCAAAAAGGUCUUGUACCAAAUAGGUACCAAAAAAAAAGUAGAAUAGAGAGUAUUACAAAAGAAAGUUCUCACCCGGGUUCACCACAGGGGCACUCAUAGCUUAGGUGUUCUCUGACUUGCGGUCUGAAGCGGCAGGGCGAUUGGCCAUUUUACUGGCCGAUCUUCUUCUUCGUCGGACCUCGGACAUCGUCCUGACAGCUGGAGGAGCUCCCGCUCCUCCACAGCCAAACAGCAGCCUCCUCGAUGGAAAUUGCACCCUCCAGGGCGACUUUGGACCCAUAUAAGGGUCCACCGACGGAGGGAAAUCUAGCCGGAGAGGAGAGACGUCUCCCUGCACGACUAGCGAUGCCGCAAACUGGAACCGGAAGUCGAAACAAGGGAAAGAAUUGAAUGAGGAAGCUUUGCCAGGACUUCAGUGAUGCAUGGAUUCAUCUGACGCUAGACAUUCCCUGGAUGAAGUUUUAUUCUAUAUUCCCCAAAUGAUUGCUUUUGACUCCAUUAUGAUGCUUGUAUGUUUUUGUUCUCUUCUGCUACCUCCAGGAGAAAGUGUAAAAUAUUAUAGAGAGAAAGGCAAGGUGACACUAUUCUCAGCUGUAAAAAUCACAGAAAUACUCAUGGCAACUUUUGGGACAAGUGUGGCAGAAUGGCAGAAAUGUGACAAAAUGGAAAACCAGAUUAAAAUGGGCCUGAGUGGAAGACAGCAGUUCCCUAUACUAAUUAUUUAAUUGACUGGGAGAAAAGCUCUGGAUUCAAAGGUUUGCUCUAUAAGGAAAAUUCUGUAAUGCUUCUGUGCUGAAAUCUUUAGUCUCUUGCCCAGAAAUAGUGACCGUUUCACAUGUUUUUGAGUUGCUCUUUUCAUUCAUUCAUUCAUUCAUUCCAUUUCUAUAGCCACCUGUCUCAAUCAAUGACUCUGGGUGGCUUACAAUUCAAAAAAUAUAUUACAGUUAUAAAUUCUAAAAAUAUUUUAAAACAAUAAAAAUAUUCAGAUUAAAUAUACGUAGGAGCAUGAUACUUUGGGCCAGUUAGCAAUACAGCCAGGCAAUGGGGCUCUUAAUGCAUUCAGAUAUUAGACAGGAGGAAAUCUAAUAACACUAGCCCCCCUUUAACCAAAAGCCAUGGUUGAUCAGAAGAAGGGAAUGCUGUCCUCUGUUAAGUUGAUUUUUUUUUCUUCCAUUUAAUCAGGUCAAAUUCUAAAACCACACCCACCCCAUUGCUGGCAAUAGAAAAAAGUUGCACUACGUCAUGACAUGUCACGUGAUGUUGCAAGUUUAACACCCUGGACUACCUAGACAGGUUUCUGCAG